rnacentral:rRNA from 1 species
CCUACGGGGGGCAGCAGUGAGGAAUAUUGGUCAAUGGGCGGGAGCCUGAACCAGCCAAGUCGCGUGAGGGAAGACGGUCCUAUGGAUUGUAAACCUCUUUAGGCGGGGAGCAAUUGGCGCUACGUGUAGCGUUAUCGAGAGUACCUGAAGAAAAAGCAUCGGCUAACUCCGUGCCAGCAGCCGCGGUAAUACGGAGGAUGCGAGCGUUAUCCGGAUUUAUUGGGUUUAAAGGGUGCGUAGGCGGAAUGCCAAGUCAGCGGUAAAAUCGCGGGGCUCAACCUCGCUCCGCCGUUGAAACUGGCGUUCUUGAGUGGGCGAGAAGUAUGCGGAAUGCGUGGUGUAGCGGUGAAAUGCAUAGAUAUCACGCAGAACUCCGAUUGCGAAAGCAGCAUACCGGCGCCCAACUGACGCUGAAGCACGAAAGCGUGGGUAUCGAACAGGAUUAGAUACCCGGGUAGUC